AGAAGACAGCGCGCUAGCGUAUCUAGUCUAUAUCUGUGGUCGGCACGUCUGGUAGCAUCUGUGGCUGCUGUUGAUCUUGUUUUUGGAGUAAAACACGGUGGAAGCUGAAUUAGUGAGGAUGACUCCUGCUCCUGUCAUCUCUAAGCUCCUCACACAUCUUUACCUGCACAUGAGGAAAAUCACUCCUGUAGAAUGCAGAUGUUCAGAGGGAGAUGAUGCCACAUCUGGUCCAGCCGAUGGAAGGUCUUGAAGAUCUCUGACUGGCCUCGACUGAAGAUGGUCUUCUCACUGGAUUUAAGUGACCAGUUUUUCUGUUUCUUCUCUGGAGAUGCACAAUGAGGGACGUCUGCAGAGACUGAGAAAGAGUCUCACCACAUCCUGACAUGAGGAAAAAGACUUUAUUGAAGACUACAAUGAGAAAAACUAUCAGACAGCAGACGGCUGCAUUCAAGUCUGUAGCUGCUGAAUUCAUGGAUGAAUCAUCUGGCACUAGAGAGA
ensembl:lncRNA